rnacentral:tRNA from 1 species
GUCCCUAUCGUCUAGAGGCCUAGGACAUCGCCCUUUCACGGCGGUAACCGGGGUUCGAAUCCCCAUAGGGACGCCA